CCUACGGGCGGCAGCAGUGAGGAAUCUUGGUCAAUGGACGAGAGUCUGAACCAGCCAAGUAGCGUGAAGGAUGACUGCCCUAUGGGUUGUAAACUUCUUUUAUAUGGGAAUAAAAUGUUCCACGUGUGGGAUUUUGUAUGUACCAUAUGAAUAAGGAUCGGCUAACUCCGUGCCAGCAGCCGCGGUAAUACGGAGGAUCCGAGCGUUAUCCGGAUUUAUUGGGUUUAAAGGGAGCGUAGGUGGAUUGUUAAGUCAGUUGUGAAAGUUUGCGGCUCAACCGUAAAAUUGCAGUUGAAACUGGCAGUCUUGAGUACAGUAGAGGUGAGCGGAAUUCGUGGUGUAGCGGUGAAAUGCUUAGAUAUAACGAAGAACUCCGAUUGCGAAAGCAGUUCACUGGACUGCAACUGACACUGAGGCUCGAAAGUGUGGGUAUCAAACAGGAUUAGAUACCCGAGUAGUC
rnacentral:rRNA from 1 species